AAGUCGUAACAAGGUUUCCGUAGGUGAACCUGCGGAAGGAUCAUUAGUGAAAAACCUGGGCUGCGCUCUUGUGCGCCCAUCUUUAACCUAUUCCUUUAACCCCACACCUGUGUCCUGGUCGGGCGAGGGUUCGGAAGGGUGCUGCCUCUCGGGGCGAUCCCUGCCCGUGCUCUCUCUUGGCCGGACGCAAGCUCUUUUAUCAUUACCAAAAAAACACCAGUCGAUUGUAUGUUCGAAACACUAUAAAAACACAAUAAAACUUUCAACAACGGAUCUCUUGGUUCUC
rnacentral:misc_RNA from 1 species